rnacentral:rRNA from 1 species
GAUGAACGCUGGCGGCGUGCCUAACACAUGCAAGUCGAACGAAGCACCUUUCCUGAUUCUUCGGAUGAAAGUUUGGUGACUGAGUGGCGGACGGGUGAGUAACGCGUUGGUAACCUGCCCUGCACAGGGGGAUAACAGCUGGAAACGGCUGCUAAUACCGCAUAAGCGCACGAGGAGACAUCGCCUUGUGUGAAAAACUCGGGUGGUACAGGAUGGGCCCGCGUCUGAUUAGCUGGUUGGCAGGGGAACGGCCUACCAAGGCAACGAUCAGUGGCCGGGCGGAGAGGAUGACCGGGCACAUUGGAACUGAGACACGGUCCAAACUCCUACGGGAGGCAGCAGUGGGGAAUAUUGCACAAUGGGGGAAACCCUGAUGCAGCAACGCCGCGUGAGUGAAGAAGUAGUUCGGUAUGUAAAGCUCUAUCAGAAGGGAAGAUAAUGACGGUACCUGACUAAGAAGCUCCGGCUAAAUACGUG